ACAGUGAGGAAGGUAGGAGUCACCCUGCAAUCUGUGGGAAAGAGGGUGAACCGAGAAGCACACAGCGCGGUGCACAGCUGCUCAGACGGCCUCUGUGAACCCUCUGCAUAGGAAACGAAGAGGAGGGAGGCGCAGAACCUUCAAGAAAGCCACAAGCUCGAAUUCGGUGGCCCAGGAUGUUUGCAGCUGCCUGAGGUGGGGUGGCGGUAGGGGAGUGGUACCUACUCAGUCAGCCAGCCAGCCAGCCACACCACUCAGCCCUCGUGAUCUCAUCUGAUUAAUAUGUAACCAAAGAAGCGAAAGACCUUCCACAAUCUGCAUGUCUCGGCAAUUCUGAAAUUCCUUUUAGGUUGGAAGCGAUCGCCAGCAAGGCUUCCUCCACUCUGACAUAUUUAUUCUUCCUCUUCAGAGUCAAACCCUUCCAGAAGAUUAAAGGUAACAAGGCUGUGAAUCAGAACCGACAAUCAUUUGCCUCAAAAAACGGGAACAAGUUUUGUUUGCGACUGGAGAAGAAGCCGACAUUGAUGCUAUGCCGCCUCCGUCACCAUCUGCCCCCUGGAAGGAAUUUUACUUGCUUGACAUAUGAAGUAUCGCACAGUAUAAAUACAACGGCUCUGCCUUCUUUAACA